AGAGUUUGAUCCUGGCUCAGGAUGAACGCUGGCGGCGUGCCUAAUACAUGCAAGUCGAGCGAACAGAUAAGGAGCUUGCUCCUUUGAAGUUAGCGGCGGACGGGUGAGUAACACGUGGGUAACCUACCUAUAAGACUGGGAUAACUUCGGGAAACCGGAGCUAAUACCGGAUAACAUUUAGAACCGCAUGGUUCUAAAGUGAAAGAUGGUUUUGCUAUCACUUAUAGAUGGACCCGCGCCGUAUUAGCUAGUUGGUAAGGUAACGGCUUACCAAGGCGACGAUACGUAGCCGACCUGAGAGGGUGAUCGGCCACACUGGAACUGAGACACGGUCCAGACUCCUACGGGAGGCAGCAGUAGGGAAUCUUCCGCAAUGGGCGAAAGCCUGACGGAGCAACGCCGCGUGAGUGAUGAAGGUUUCGGCUCGUAAAACUCUGUUAUUAGGGAAGAACAAAUGUGUAAGUAACUGUGCACAUCUUGACGGUACCUAAUCAGAAAGCCACGGCUAACUACGUG
rnacentral:rRNA from 1 species